AUGAAACCCCCUCCAUAUGUAUUACCAUCAUGCUCCAAGCAGCUUCUCCUUUCCAGCAUGCUAUGGAGCAGUGUUUCUCAAACUUUUUGGAGUCAAGGACCGCUAAAUUCUUCGUGCAGAGUGUCAAGGACCGCUACAUUCUUCAUGCGCAGUUUCCCGGACCAGCAGUUAGUAAAGGGGUUUCAAGUCUAUCUAUCUAUCUAUCUACCAGACUUCUAUACUGCCCAAAACUUGCAUCUCUGGGCAGUUUAGAAUGAAAAUAAUAUAAGCAUUAAAAUAAUUAAAUUUGGAAUCUUUUGCAAACAUGGAAUAUUAGGGGUUCUUAACCUUGGGUCCCUCAGUUAAACUCCUAUAACCCCCAACAACAAUGGCAUUUGGCCAUUAUGGCUGGGGAUUAUGGGAGUAGAAGUCCACCAAUGUCUGGGUACCCAAGGUUGAGAACCCCUGAAUCUAAAAGCCUGGGUGAACAAAUUUGUCUCCAGUAUGUCUGGAGUGGAGGUGCUUGUGAUUACUCAAUGGAGAGGGGAUGUUGGGCCAUUAGAAAAAUUCAAAAGCUACAUGGGGCCAAUGAAAACAACAUACAAGCAAGCCCCACUGAUGCAAGAGGGAAACAGCGUUCCCUCUCAAGGCGCCUCGACCAUAACAGGCAGCUGGGUUUCAAUCAACCAACCUUUGGCUGCAAACAAUGAGCAUGCAAGAACCAGCAGCCCUUCAAGUGGCGCCCACUGCCAUACUUUUUCCUCCAUGCCCCCGCACCGCAUACAGCUUGAACCUGUAAAGAUAGGGAAUAAGAUAGCUGUAGGAAGAUCUCAGCAGCACAUGGAGGCAAGGCACAAGAAGGGUCCCACGCCUCCGUGAUACUCUUCCUCUUCCGUGCCAUGUGCAAAAUUGAGGAAGUGAGUGCCUUGAUUUCAGUUGGGGGGGGGGGGUUUGACUCCCAGUCAGGGACCGGCACUCAACCCUUCGGGGACCGGCAGCGGUCCAGGGACCGGUGGUUGAGAAACACUGCUAUGGAGAACAAGGAAACUCUCUUAGUCUGUGAAGAGAGGGAGGGGUCUGAGGAAAGUAUUAAAGAGGAAAGGAUGAUUGCCUUUUGCUAAAACCAUGCUGUCUGUGUUCUGUUUCCAAGCUCAAACAGCUGCUUCAGCUGAGAAAAAGGGGGGAGGCGCAUCGGCCUCCUCCACCCCUUGUGUUGCAAACAGUCUAAUUUCCUGCUGCCGCUCUGUCCCAAGCCCAAAGAGAACACUGUUCUUGCUGCAAAAAGUUUCUCCGAACAAACGGCUGCUUUUCUUUUCUUUUUCUUCUUCUUUCUUCCUUCAACUGCUUGCAGUUGGAAAAGAGGAAAGAAAAUGGAGUUUGAAGGAAUGCGUGUGAUGUAGUUCUGUGCAGGGAAUUGUAGAGAAAAGACUGGAAGGAGAUGUGGACAGAAGGGAAGGAAUGUCUUAAGGAUUUUAGUUGGAAGUUGUUAAAAAGUUGAAAAGCACCUGUAAGCUGUGAUGUGGAAAGUAGCUGAAUCCCAGUAGCUGAAUGAUGAGAUCCCAGAUUUGAGAUUUGAUGAAAAGAAUUUUGUUUUGCCACUCCUGCAAGUGGAAGGGAGUUCCAAAGUACCGGUUUGCAUUUCACCUGGAAGACUUCCCAGUUUAAAAGGAUCAAGCUUUGUAUGUUACUGUGAAACCCAUACCCUGUUUUCACAGCUCCUGAUGAGAGACUUGACUUGAUUAUCACAGGUUUCACCCCUCUGCAAGAUUAUGGACCAUUUUUCUGAUAACACCUUUUGCUAAAGAGGCCUGUAAAAAGGGACACUUUGAUUUGCUUCAUGAGACAUUAGGCCUUGCCCAGAAGUCUCAAUCCUAUUUCAACAAGGUAUAGUAUUUUUGCCUGGGGGCAGGGACUUUUUCUUUCUUAUAUAGGCUUCUCAUGAGGAUAUUGUUACCCUACAAGGAUGUCAAACCCUUACUCAUUGGUCACUUGCUAGUUAUGAGGCUAAAGAUGGAGAGCUGGAACACCACAACUAUCUACACAUGACCUAGAUGAAGAUCCCAAAGCCAGAUGUUACUGACGAAUCACCCCUUUAUGGAGAAUAAAGUCAGGUAUACUGGAUGGAGAUUGAAUGCCCUGACAAAGGCCUGUAAAUAUGAUUGUCAGCCAGUGUGGUGCAGUGGUUAGAGUGCUGGACUAGGACCGGGGAAACCCGAGUCCAAACCCUCAUUCAGCCAUGACACUUGCUGGGUGACACAGGGCCAGCCACUCAAAUGGUCUGUCCUGCUUCACAGGGUUGUUGUAAGGAGGAAGAACAGGAUACAGAAGAGACUGUGAGAUGCCACAUGGAAACAGAACUUUGUCAGCAGUUACACCCAAAGGGCCUUGGUGAAAUUCAAGCGCUGGAGUUCUAUGUUGCAGCCUCUCGAGUGAUAAGACUAUGUUUGACCUGUCAGGCAGCCCUGUCAGGCUUUAAUGCUUCCUCAAAACCCCCAAAUCAUGAGGGGGGUGAAAAUGUGGAUGCCCUUUUUCCUUUUGACUUUGUUGCUUUGCCUUUUGCCCAGGAUUGCCGUUUUGUCCUCGUGAUCAGAGACCAGCCUACAACACAAGCCACCAAGCCCUAAAUGCAGACAUUAUCCCCUGUUCUGGACUUCGGCGGGGAGAGGGGCCCAGGGCAAGAAGCGAAACAAAAACAUAAAUUGGAAAAAAUGCCAAAAGACCAAAUUGAAAAUAGCCUCAGGUCUUAUCCAUCCAUUGUAUUAUUUGCCUUGAAAACUUGACUUUUCCUUUUGUGCUGAUGGUUGGCACCCAGGGACUUAGUCUCAGGACGCUGUCCCUACAUGGGGGGAGGGAAUUGGUAACUCACUUGCCUGUCUUUCUCUCAAGUAAACAGGUUUGCAACCAACGGUGCCUUGAAUUGUCUUUCCGAGAAGGAUUGGUCCUCCCCAGAUUGAAGGAGUACCUGGAUCCAACCCUGACCCAGGAGCACUAACCAUCAGCAGCAGCAGCUACCCGAGGGGAGUCCCUAUCUGCGUUUCCAGUCCAACCCAAUGGUGACAGAAUGUCCAUCUGCUGCCCUGUCCUGUGUUCAAGGAAGAGGGCCUAAUGCAAAGUCCAUCUUCCUGCUCCUGAGUGCUGUAGCAGAGGAAUAGACAACGAAUGCCUGAAGAGUGCCUGACAGCAAACAGGCAAGCCAAUUUGUUUACUUUUCUCUGGAGUCAUAUGUGCAACAGCAUCUCCCCAAGCCUUUAGUCACUCCUGUAAAGCCCUGGAACCAUCCUACCCGGGUAAGAUACCCUGCCAAAGACACUAUUUCAAAUUCUGCCAAAGACAUUAUAUCAAAUUGUCCACCGGGGGGGCGGGGGGCAGUCAAGGCUCCCAAACACAUGAACGUUCAAGCUUGUCUAUGGACACUAGUCAAACAGGCCAAAACAACACUGAUCAGAGAACAUUUAGGAUAGCCAGAAUCCUGCAAUGUUGGACAAGAGCAUUUGGAAGGCAGAACCAAUUGAAGGACUAAAAUGGCUUUUUAAAAAACCAAAAACCAAGGACUCUUAGUUUUUGGAAUUCUAGGGCUCUCCAUGGCCUCCUUUUGGCCAUGGCAGACUCUAGAGGACACUAAGGGGGGGUGGGAGUUGAUGACUUACAUCACUUUCUUGUAGUGACUAUGAGCUAUAAUUAUGUUGGAAACCCUGCUAUCCCCUGUGCUGUAAGGACAUGAACCUCACAUGCUUGCUUUCUGGUCAUUUCCUUAUUUGCUUCCCUGACACCUUGUGCCAAUCAUCUCAUAGUUUCACCCAGAGCAUCUACCUGCAAGUCUGCACCUUUCCCUAACUUACUGGUUCCUUUUUGCACUCUAAAGACAUUAAGCUAGCCCAAGCUUUACCUGCCAGUUUUCUAAGACACCUGUAUCCUUUAACUAAUGUGACUGUACAUGACUUCUCAUUACCAUUGCUUUCCAUGAGCUGAUAAUCCAUUAAUCACCAGAAGCACCUGGUUCCACAAUGCAAGGCUGUUAUUGAUACUUUAUUUGGGAUGGAGUUGGGUUAAGACAAUGUUGCUUGCUAUAAGUUGUAUGAUCUUUAUAUGUACACCUUGCUGCUAUGUAUAAAACCUUUUAUCUAUAUCAAAUCAGGCCGGAUAUGGGUGAUUAAGGAUAUGUGUCUUAAUUUAUGGAAUUAUACUAAUUAUGCUUGUAGCUCUAGGAUCUUGUAUGCAAUGUUUCUAGUUUUAUUACCAUGUGUACAGCCCAUUUAGCACCUACCAUUUCUGUAAAAUCUAUGCUUAGGCAUCCCAAAAUCACAUGUCACAAAUCCUUUAGCCACAUGAAACACAGAACUAUAUUUCCAAGGCAAAGAAGAUAAUUCUAGUUAUAGCAUGUAUUUUCUUUUUAUUGAUAGUCACAUGUUGCUGCUUACAAUGCAUUCCAGCUUUAAUCCAAAUGUUUAUGAGAACCUUUAAACCUCGCCAUAAUGUAAGACCUAAUUAUACAGCUGUACCUUUACAAGCCUUAAGACAUCCUGAAGAUUCAGGAUAGUCCAAUUUCAGGGGGGAAUUGAUCUGUUUAAAAAACCAAAGAAACUCCAUUUUGCCCAGAAGACCUUAUUCUAACUUAAGUAACCUGGCCCCCAAAAUCAGGGACAUCACUGCCUCUCAUGAUUAACAUCAUUAUCUCUCUCCAGCAAAAUUGUACACAGCUAAGCUUCACAUUGCUAGAAAACAGGAUCUAACCGAAUAAGGAAUAAUCACCAGAUGAACAAUGAAUCAUUCACAUGCGUACUACUUAGACCACCAAUUUAUUGCCACAUAUACUGUGUCAAGCGUGUUAGCACCAUCUUGAUUGUUUGUAUAAAUGUAAGGUGCACCUGUAACCAAACCUUAAUUGGUUUGAGAGCAUGAGCCUACUGAUUACCUAUUGCUGACUGCAGAGCAAUAAAGCCUCAAUUAAUAAUUCCCAA